rnacentral:piRNA from 1 species
UACCUGGUGAUAUGAGACUGUUUUGGA